rnacentral:rRNA from 1 species
AUUGAACGCUGGCGGCAUGCCUUACACAUGCAAGUCGAACGGCAGCACGGGGCAACCUGGUGGCGAGUGGCGAACGGGUGAGUAAUGCAUCGAAACGUACCUUUCAGGGGGGGAUAACGUAGCGAAAGUUACGCUAAUACCGCAUAUUCUGGGAGCAGGAAAGCAGGGGAUCGCAAGACCUUGCGCUGAUUGAGCGGCCGAUGUCAGAUUAGCUAGUUGGUGAGGUAAAGGCUCACCAAGGCGACGAUCUGUAGCGGGUCUGAGAGGAUGAUCCGCCACACUGGAACUGAGACACGGUCCAGACUCCUACGGGAGGCAGCAGUGGGGAAUUUUGGACAAUGGGGGCAAGCUUGAUCCAGCCAUGCCGCGUGAGUGAAGAAGGCCUUCGGGUUGUAAAGCUCUUUCGGCCGGGAAGAAAUCGCACGGGCUAAUACCCUGUGUGGAUGACGGUACCGGAAUAAGAAGCACCGGCUAACUACGUGCCAGCCGCCGCCGUAA